GCCCCUGUAGCUCAGAGGUAGAGCAGUGCCCUCCUAAGGCAAAGGCCGCGGGUUCAAAUCCCGUCUGGGGUU
rfam:Linderina pennispora strain ATCC 12442 DL89scaffold_8, whole genome shotgun sequence.